rnacentral:rRNA from 1 species
UACGUAGGUGGCAAGCGUUGUCCGGAUUCACUGGGCGUAAAGCGCGCGCAGGCGGCUUGGUCAGUCUGGGGUGAAAUCUCGCGGCUCAACUGAGAGAGGUCCCUGGAUACUGCCAGUCUUGAGGGGCUCAGAGGAGAGUGGAAUUCCGCGUGUAGUGGUGGAAUGCGUAGAUACGCGGAGGAACACCAGUGGCGAAAGCGGCUCUCUGGGGGCCACCUGACGCUGAGGCGCGAAAGCUAGGGUAGCAAACGGG